rnacentral:misc_RNA from 1 species
CCGAGUUUACAACUCCCAAACCCCUGUGAACAUACCUAUGUUGCCUCGGCGGAUCAGCCCGCGCCCCGUAAAACGGACGGCCCGCCGCAGAGGACCCCUAAACUCUGUUCUAUAGUGGAACUUCUGAGUAAAACCAUAAUAAAUCA